rnacentral:rRNA from 1 species
UGCUCCUCUGAUUUAGCGGCGGACGGGUGAGUAACACGUGGGUAAUCUGCCUGUAAGACGGGGAUAACUCCGGGAAACCGGGGCUAAUACCGGAUAACAAGAGAAGAUGCAUAUCUUCUUUUUGAAAGUCGGUUUCGGCUGACACUUACAGAUGAGCCCGCGGCGCAUUAGCUAGUUGGUGAGGUAACGGCUCACCAAGGCGACGAUGCGUAGCCGACCUGAGAGGGUGAUCGGCCACACUGGGACUGAGACACGGCCCAGACUCCUACGGGAGGCAGCAGUAGGGAAUCUUCGGCAAUGGGCGAAAGCCUGACCGAGCAACGCCGCGUGAGCGAUGAAGGCCUUCGGGUCGUAAAGCUCUGUUGUUAGAGAAGAACAAGUACGAGAGUAACUGCUCGUACCUUGACGGUACCUAACCAGAAAGCCACGGCUAACUACGUGCCAGCAGCCGCGGUAAUACGUAGGUGGCAAGCGUUAUCCGGAAUUAUUGGGCGUAAAGCGCGCGCAGGCGGUCUCUUAAGUCUGAUGUGAAAGCCCACGGCUCAACCGUGGAGGGUCAUUGGAAACUGGGAGACUUGAGUGCAGGAGAGAAAAGUGGAAUUCCACGUGUAGCGGUGAAAUGCGUAGAGAUGUGGAGGAACACCAGUGGCGAAGGCGGCUUUUUGGCCUGUAACUGACGCUGAGGCGCGAAAGCGUGGGGAGCAAACAGGAUUAGAUACCCUGGUAGUCCACGCCGUAAACGAUGAGUGCUAGGUGUUGGGGGGGUUCCACCCUCAGUGCUGAAGUUAACACAUUAAGCACUCCGCCUGGGGAGUACGACCGCAAGGUUGAAACUCAAAGGAAUUGACGGGGGCCCGCACAAGCAGUGGAGCAUGUGGUUUAAUUCGAAGCAACGCGAAGAACCUUACCAGGUCUUGACAUCCUCUGACCACUCUAGAGAUAGAGCUUUCCCCUUCGGGGGACAGAG